ACAGCAGGACGGUGGUCAUGGAAGUCGAAAUCCGCUAAGGAGUGUGUAACAACUCACCUGCCGAAUGAACUAGCGCUGAAAAUGGAUGGCGCUCAAGCGGACCACCGAUACUCGACCAACGCGCUGAGUGCUUUGGCGCGUUGCGUAGGAGGGCGUGGGGCUCGUGACGCAGCCGCGGGAGUGAUCCCCGGUGAAACGGGCUCUAGUGCAGAUCUUGGUGGUAGUAGCAAAUAUUCAAAUGAGAACUUUGAAGACUGAAGUGGACAAGGGUUCCAUGUGAACAGCAGUUGGACAUGGGUGAGCCGAUCCUAAGGGGUAGGGCAAUUCCUCGAACAGUCGCUUUUUGCGGCUGCCUACCGAAAGGGAAACGGGUUAAUAUUCCCGAACCAGGACGUGGAUAUUGAGUGGCAACACAAGCAAAACCGGGGAAGGCGGCGAGGGCUCCGAGGAGAGUUAUCUUUUCUUGUUAACAGCAGUUGCGACCCUGGAAUCGGAUUGGCCGGAGAUAGGGUUGCAGCUCUGGGAAAGGCGGUUAAUUUGUGACCGCUUCGGUGCGCUUUCGACGUCCCUUGAAAACCCGGUGGCGUGACUUAUUCGCACCCCUGGUCGUACUCAUAACCGCAUCAGGUCUCCAAGGUUAGCAGCCUCUAGUCGAUAGAACAAUGUAGAUAAGGGAAGUCGGCAAAAUAGAUCUGUAACUUAGGGAAAAAGAUUGGGUCUGAGGGUUGGGCCUAGGGGUCUCUGGGACAAUGUUGCGACUGCUAGGAGGGACUGCGGCUCACGCUGCGGACCCACCGGGCGGUUCUUCGGCGGCCCAGAGGAUGCUUGCCUCGUGCAUGCUUUCCCUAGCGCGAUGAACAACCGGCUCAGAACUGGAGCGGACAAGGGAA
rnacentral:rRNA from 1 species